rnacentral:lncRNA from 1 species
AGAGAAGCAGCAGAGUCACUUCACCGACCAGACGCCGCGGCCACCGCCGACGCCGCCGCCAUUUUAACAGAGCGCUCGGGCUGCGCUCGGCUCUUUCCGCCCGGGCUUAGGAGCGGACGAGAGGCGCCUCGCGCUCUCAUUCCUCCGCCUCCCUCCCUUUCUCGCCUCUCCUCCGCCCCCCACCUCUCCCUCCGCACACACGCCGCACGCUCCACACCCCGCCGUGGCCGGCUCGCCGCCCUCCCUUUCCUCUUCCGUCCGGCCUCCCCGCCCUCGGUCCACCCCCUCCGCGCGCUCGCCCACCCCGCCCAGCCCGGAUCUCUGUCAGCGGCCGGAAGGGAAACGCGAAGCCAGCGCGGCCGCGGGGGGAGUCCGGGUGAGUAGGAGAAGAUGGCGGAGGCAACGGACGGGUCGCGGUUGCGUGGCGUCGCCCACCACGACCCACUCCACGGGCUCUGAGGCCCGGGGAGCGCCAGGUCACUCGCUCCGUCCUGUCCCCCGCCCCUGGGCUUCGCCAUUUUUCCCCAGGGCCUGGGUCGGGGAGUUGGUGCGGGUUUCUUUGGUGUCCCCGGCCUCUUCCGCGCUUAGGCUUUUGGGGUACGGGAAGCAAGGAGUCAACUUGGGUGCCGGGCCGGGUCUACGCCGUAGCCCUCUUUCGGGCGCAAGGGCCACUCCCCCCGGGGUCUGAGAGUGAAUCAGCCCAGGGCCCGGCUUAACUGCAUCGGUGAUUAUCGCUACCCUGCAGUUCCUUGAAGGUCCUCCGUCCUGGAGCAGUAAGAUCCUUGACGUAACUAGAAAUGGCAGGGUAAGGAGUGUUUGCCUGACAUCGUCUCGUUUUUACGGAAGAGGGCCCCUCACGAUGUGCCCAUCAGCCCCACCUGAAAUAGCAAGAAAUCUUCUUCAGCAGAGAGCGAAUAACAAGGAUAUUAAGAUAAAGAACAGGUGAAGGGGGCAGUCAGCUGAAGCUUGUAAGGGAAUUUUCCUCACGCCGGCACUUACCCCUUGCUUGCUAAUUUUUGUGUUCAACGUGUUUACAUAGACAUGUGACUGCAAAGUCCGAAAGAUCGUGUACAGAAUCUCUGAACGGUAACCAGAGUGUCUGUCAAGGCUCUGUAGUCAUUCUCUCGAUAGCUUUUGUGGAGGUUAUGGCACGCCCAUCUCUCCAUGCCAGAACCACCUGGUUCCAAAUGCUUUGCCUUUCUGCUGCUUGAAGUUGAUACUAUAAACAGUCUGCCCAACCCGUUUUGUUUCCCACUAGCAGGUGAUCCUUAGGAUUGUAGUUCUAUUCUACCAUCAUCUUCCCUUCUUCCUUGUCUUUCUCACAGAAUUGGGUUUUUGCAGACUUACUUUGGAUCCUGAGGCAGACAUUCGUUGUCCACUCAACAUACAUUCCCACGUAUCCCUUUUUUCCCUGCCAACACAACCCCAAUUAUUUUUAUUUGAAUUUUUUUUUUUUGAGACAAAGUCUCACUCUGUCGCCAAGGUUAGAGUGCAGUGGUGCGAUCACAGUUCACUACAGCCUCCACUUUAUGGGCUCAAGGGAUCCUCCCACUUCCCUAGUAGCUGGGGCUACAGGCGCUCUCCACCACACGUAACUAAUUGUUUUUUAUUUUUAGUAGGGACAGGGUCUUGCUAUGUUACCCAGGCUGGUCUCAAACUCCUGGCCUCAACUGAUCCUCCGGCCCAAAAUGUUAGGAUUACAGGUAUGAGCCAACGUGCUGGUCUCACGUUUUUUCAGGUAGCAGUUGAAACCAACCAUCAUGGUGAUCUGGCUUUUCUAGGGCUGGCCAUACAUAAUUGAGUUCCUCCUGAUAAAAGGUAAGCAACAAUCCUGAGAAACAUAGUGGGAGCCCUGUGUCUACAAAAAUUUAAAAGGUGGCUGGGCGCGUUGGCUCACUCCUGAAAUCCCGCACUUAGGGAGGCUGAGGUGAGCAAAUCACCUGAGGUCGGGAGCUCUAGACCGGCCUGACCAACAUGGACAAAGCUCAUCUCUGCUAAAAAUACAAAAUUAGGCAUGGUGGUGCAUGCCUGUAAUCCCAGCUACUCAGGAGGCUGAGGCAGGAGAAUCGCUUGAACCCGGGAGGCAGGGGUUGCGGUGAGCCGAGAUCGCGCCAUUGCACUCCAGCCUGGGAUAAGAGUGAAACUCCGUCUCAUAAAAAAAAAAAAAAAAAAAGGCCAGGCAUGGUGGUUCAUGCCUGUAAUCCCAGCGCUUUGGGAGGCCGAGGCGAGAAGAUCACUAAAUCAGGAGAUUGAGACCAUCCUGGCUAACACGGUGAAACCCCGUCUCUACUAAAAAUACAAAAAAUUAGCCAGGCAUGGUGGUGGGCGCCUGUAGUCCCAGCUACUUGGGAGGCUGAGGCAGGAGAAUGGCAUGAACCCAGGGAGCAAAGCUUGCAGUGAGCUGAGAUCGCGCCACUGCACUCCAGCCUGGGCGACACAGCAAGACUCCGUCUCAAAAAAAAAAAAAAAAAAUUACCUGGUCGUGGUGGCUCACGACUAUAAUCAUAGUACUUUGAGAGUCCAAGGCAGAUGGAUUGCUUGAGCCUGGGAGUUCUACAUCAACCUGGGCAACAUGGCAAAAGUCCAUCUCCAGUACAUAAGAAAAUUAGUGGAAUGUGGUGGUGCACACCUGUAAUCCCAGCUACUGGGGAGGCUGAGGUGGGAGGAUCACUAGAGCCCAGGAGAUUGAGACUGCAGUGAGCUGUGGUCAUACCACUGCAGUCUAGCCUGGGUGACAGAGUGAGACCCUCUCUGGAAAAAAAAAGAAAUGUAAGCAGAAAUCUGCAGGAUGGGUUCUUUGGGAAGAAUUCCCAAAAGAAUUCCUAAUACGAUGAGGGACAAAUUCAGCUAACAUACCAUUUAACCCUUUCUGCCUGAAACAUGGUCUUGAUGCACAAAGUAAUACCCAUCUUGUAAUUUUUUUAACAAUGAAAACUUUUACCCCAUUUGCGAUUUCAUUGUUUAAAAAAUUUGAUUAAACAGGCCGGGCACAGUGGCUCACGCCUGUAAUCCCAACACUUUGGGAGGCUGAGGCAGGUGGAUCACCUGAGGUCAGAGUUCAAGACCAGCCUUACCUACAUGCUGAAACCCCAUCUCUUCUAAAAAUAUAAAAAAUGAGCCGGGUGUGGUGGCGGGCACUUUGUAAUCCCAGCUACUCGGGAGGCUGAGGCUGGAGAAUUGCUUGAACCCGGGGGUGGAGGUUGCAGUGAGCCGAGAUUCUGCCAUUGCACUCCAGCCUGGGCAACAAGAGCAAAAAAAAUUCCAUCUCGAAAAAAAAUGAUAAAACAGAAUCAUAAAGUGUGGAUCCCUGAUGCAUCUUUGAACAACAGUCUAUGCUCAGACUGCUUAUGUGAGAAAAAUAAAAUGUAUUUUUCUUGGCUGGGCAUGGUGGCCUACACCUGUAUUCCCAGAACUUUGAGAGGCUAAGGAGGGCAGAUCACUUGAGGACAGGAGUUAGAGACCGGCCUGGCCAACGUAAUGAAACCCAUCUCUACUAAAAAUACAAAAAUUAGGCUGGGCGCAAUGGCUCACGCCUGUACUCCCAGCACUUUGGGAGGGGGAGGUGGGCAGAACACAAGGUCAGGAGUUCAAGACCAGCCUGGCCAACGUAGUGAAGCCUCGUCUCUACUAAAAAUACAAAAAUUAGCCGGGUUUGAUGGCGCAUGCCUAUAGUCCCAACUACUUGGGAGGCUGAGGCAAGAGAAUUGCUUGAACCCAGGAGGCAGAAGUUGCAGUGAGCCAAGAUCGCACCAGUGCACUCCAGCCUCGGCGACAGAGCAAGACUCCGUCUCAAAAAAAAAAAAAAGCCGGUUGUGGUGGAGGGCACCUGUAAUCCCAGCCACUCAGAAGGCUGAGGCAGGAGAAUCCCUUGAACCCGGGAGGCAGAGGUUGCAGUGAGCUGCAGUUGCCACUGCACUCCAGCCUGGAUGACAGAGCAAGACUCCUCAAAAAAGUUCUUUUUCUUUAAGCCAUUCUUCAGAUUUUCGUUACUUGUAACCAAACACAUUUCUAACUACUGAUUACAGAUACUCUUUUUUUUUUUUUUUUUUUUUUUUGAGUCUCGCUUUUUUUGCCCAGGCUGGAGUGCAGUGGAGUGAUCUCCGCUCACUGCCAGCUCCGCCUCCCGGGUUCAGGCCAUUCUCCUGCCUCAGCCUCCUGAGUAGCUGGGACUACAGGUGCCACCACCACACCUGUCUACUUUUUUGUAUUUUUAGUAGAGAUGGGGUUUCUCCAUGUUGGUCAGGCUGGUCUCGAACUCCCACCCUCAGGUGAUCCGCCCGCCUCGGCCUCCUAAAGUGCUGUGAUUACAGGCGUGAGCCACCGCGCCCGGCCAAGUGUGUAUAACUGUUGAUCAACAUUUUGAAGACCAGUUAUGACAGUUAAAUUAUUUGCCACAACUCAAAUGAACAGCAGAGCACUUUAUCACAAACUAACAUUCACCCUGGAAUGUACUGUACAGUCAACCUAUUCUGUCUCCUUCCAUCUCUCCAUUCCUAUGCCUUUCAUCUUUUUAUUUUAUUUUAAUUUUUUUUUGAGAUGGAGUCUUGCUCUGCUGCCCAGGGUGGAGUGCAGUGGCGCAAUCUCGGCUCACUGCAAGCUCUGCCUCCUGGGUUCAAGCGAUUCACCUGCCUCAGCCUCCUAAAUAGCUGGGAUUACAGAUGUGUGCCAUCACAUUGGGCUAAUAUUUAUAUUUUUAGUAGAGACAGGGAUCUUACUAUGUUGCCCAGGCUGUUCUUGAACUCGGUCUCAAGUGAUCCACCCACCUCAGCCUCCCAAAGUGAUGGGAUUACAGGUAUGAGCCACCAGCCCUGGCCUAAAUUUAAAAAAAAGGGUAUUCCUAUGUUGCCCAGACUGGUCUCGAACUCCUGAGCUCCAGCAAUCCUCCCACCUGCCAAAGUGCUAGGAUUACAGUUGAGCCACUGCACCCCACAGAGAUCUCACUGUGUUGCCCAGGCUGCAGUGCAGUGACAAUUCAUAGGCCCAGCAUGCUUUGAACGGCAUGCUUUGAGGUGAUCCUCCUGCCUCAGCCUCCCAAGUAGCUGGGACUACAGGCAUAUUCCACCACUUUCCUGGCUCAAGGAAUCCUCCUGCCUCAGCCUCCUGGGUAGCUGGGAGGACAAGUGUGUGUCACCACACCUGGACAACUGGGGGUGUAUUUGUAUCUUAUGGGAUGGAUAUUUGGUGAUUUGUUAUGAGCAAAUUGAUACCCUUCUGUUUGUGGAGAUUCUCUUGAAUCCUUUUUUCCAUACACUCCAUUUUCUUCUGUUUGGAACUCAUGUUUACUUAUGGAGUGGUCCUCAAAUUUUUAAAAGUUUAUAUUUUGCAUCUUUUUCUCUUUUCCCUCUAUUUUUGGGAGAUUUAAAUUUCUUUUUUUUUCUUUUUGAGGAGUCUCGCUGUCGCCCAGGCUGGAGUGCAGUGGCGCCGUCUCAGCUCACUGCAAGCUCCGCCUCCCGGGUUCACGCCAUUCUCCUGCGUCAGCCUCCCAAGUAGCUGGGACUACAGGUGCCCACCACCAUGCCCGGCUAAUUUCUUUGUAUUUUUAGUAGAGACAGGGUUUCACAGUGUUAGCCAGGAUGGUCUCCAUCUCCUGACCUCGUGAUCCGCCCGCCUUGGCCUCCCAAAGCGCUGGGAUUACACACGUGAGCCACCGCACCUGCCUCUGCAACUCAUUUUUUAUUUCUGCUAUUCUCUAAUUUCCAAAAUUCUGUUCUCUUGAUAUACCUUUACUGUGGUAUUGUUUUUCUUGGUUGCAGAAAGCUCUCAACUUUUCUAAGGGUACUGGUGAUUGAUAUUUUUGUUUACUUUUGCCUGUGCAGUCUGUUUUCAACUUGCCCGUUUCCAUUUUAAAAUUCAUAUUGAGACUGCCCUUAGAUGUCUGAUAAUCCUUAGUUGUCCAUUUACACACCCAUUAUAUAAAAUGUAUAGGGAAGGCCAGGCACGGUGGCUCACGCCUAUAAUCCCAGCACUUUGGGAGGCUGAGGUGGGUGGAUCACCUGAGGUCAGGAGUUUGAGACCAGCCUGUCUAAACAUGGCAAAACCCCAUCUUUAGUAAAAGCACAAACAGCUGGUUGCGUUGAUGCGUGCCUGCAGCCCCAGCUUCUCUGGAGGCUGAGGCUGGAGAAUCGCUUGAAUCCGGGAGGCGGAGGUAGUAGUGAGCCGAGAUCACGCCACUGCACUCCAGCCUGAGCAACAGAGCAAGAUUCUAUCACCCCCACCCCCCACCCCGCAAAAAAAAAAAUCAAUCUAUAUCUGAGAGAGAGUGUCUCACUCUGGCUGGAGUGCAGUGGCACAAUCUCAGCUCACAGCAACCUCUCCUUCCCAAAUUCAAGAGAUUCUCCUGGCUCAGCCUCCCAAGCAGCUGGAACUACAGGCACGUGCCACCACACUUGGCUAAUUUUUGUAUUUUUUUGUAGAGACAGGGUUUCACUGUGUUGGCCAGGCAGGUCUGGGACUCUUGGCCUCAAGUGAUCCGCCCACCUUGGCCUCCCAAAGGGCAGGGAUUACAGGUGUGAGCUACCAAGCCUGGCUCCACUCACCCUUUUGAGAAGGCUCAUGGCUACUUAGUUUACUUACAUUUUUUAAGAAUACAAUUAGUAUUUGUACCAGGUUACAUCUGUGUUCUCAUUCCAAGGCUAAUGUUUAUUCUUUGUUACAUUUAGAUGCUAAGUAGAGUUAGACAAGAAGUGCCCUCUAAUCCCAAAUAAAGGUAAAAUGAGUCAAAAUGCCACAGGAGGAAUUUGUUUCUUGAGAACAAAAGGUAUCUUAGGAACAUGUUCAUUUUACACAACUGCUGCAUUUACUAGGAACAAUAACCUUAGAAAUCUUGUUUGUAAAUCAAGGGGUCCAACUUCAUUUAAAAUGUUACUUGAUGCUUAAACACAAAUACCCACUAUCAUUAAUAUAGGAAUAAAUGAG